rnacentral:lncRNA from 1 species
GACUCCUAGUCCUACCUCUAUUGCUUCUGUUAUAUUUUUCUCUAUUCUAAAAGGUCUCCAAGGACAGUCGUGGUUAAAAUCAAGGAAUUUCAGCACAAAAGUAAUGGGUUGAAACAAUUUCACCAAAUCUAUUUUUGGGUGCUUUGAUAAAUAAAGGAGACUGUUAUUAUCUUCCACUUUCACGGUUUGUCAUUGGUGCACCGUCAUUUCCACCGUUCGCCGUGAGGGGGAGUAUGUUUCCAGCCAGGUUUCAAGCUUUCAGACUACACUAGUCAAUGAUGGCAACCCCUGCAGUUUUGUCGCUUUUAGCCAUUACAGGCCUCAUACCCCAUCAGUCAGUGAAGGAAGUCCUUAUAGUUUUGUCGUUUUUAGUCGCUGCAAGCCCC